GUCCCGGCCCAGGGCUUCAGUCUGACUUUGCAUCACAUCUGCCUUUGAUUGGAAAAAAAACUAUUUGAUUUCUGGGGCAAGCAGAAUUCCAGAGGGCACUGCUCAGCUGGGCCAGAAGCUGAGGCAUGUUGAGAAUGUGCUGAACCUGGGAUGCCAAGAGGGGACCAAGUCUUCUUGCCCAGUAAAUGGGAUGCUGGCAAACAGAGAUGGGACCUUCACAAGGAUGACUUGGAUUUCUUGAAGAGCCUGGAUGAGAUCCCCCUCUCCAAGGCAGCACCUAUGUGAACAGGAUCCAAACAGCUGGCUCCUCUGACUCCAAAAUCAAGCUCGGUUCUCUGCUGCUGCCUCCAAAGAAUGGCUCUGCUUUUUCCCCGCAGACCAGGAGAGCACUUGGGGACCUCCCUGUGCUUGACUUUGGGCCAACCUGAAGCUUUCCAGGAUGCACAGCACCUGGAUGAAUGGGUGGAGAAGAGAAAGGAACAAAGAUGGAGCCCAGAGGCAUUCUAGGGUCCAUAAAGAGUGUCUCCAACUUUUUCUCAAAUGGCUUGAAUUUGGCAAAUCCCAAAACACUCUUUGCCAAGAACUUUUUUGCCUUAAUUUCUUAA